CGAGCGAACAGAUAGGAGCUUGCUCCUGACGUUAGCGGCGGACGGGUGAGUAACACGUGGGAACCUACCCUAUAGUUUGGGAUAACUCCGGGAAACCGGGGCUAAUACCGAAUAACCUCUCAUGAGAAAAGACGGUUUCGGCUGUCGCUAUAGGAUGGGCCCGCGGCGCAUUAGCUAGUUGGUGAGGUAACGGCUCACCAAGGCGACGAUGCGUAGCCGACCUGAGAGGGUGAUCGGCCACACUGGGACUGAGACACGGCCCAGACUCCUACGGGAGGCAGCAGUAGGGAAUCUUCCACAAUGGGCGAAAGCCUGAUGGAGCAACGCCGCGUGAGUGAAGAAGGAUUUCGGUUCGUAAAACUCUGUUGUAAGGGAAGAAAAGUACAGUAGUAACUGGCUGUACCUUGACGGUACCUUAUUAGAAAGCCACGGCUAACUACGUGCCAGCAGCCGCGGUAAUACGUAGGUGGCAAGCGUUGUCCGGAAUUAUUGGGCGUAAAGCGCGCGCAGGUGGUUUCUUAAGUCUGAUGUGAA
rnacentral:rRNA from 1 species